UGAACAAAGCAAUAAAAAUGACAAUAACUGAAGAUAAAGGGUUUUCGAUUAUAGUAAUUUGACAAAAUAUUGACAAAACAGGCAAAUUAUCGUUCUUUCUUUACAUUGGAACAUUGCCUGCUCAUAAUCUAAUUAUCUAUCUUGUGAGGAUUGUCUCGUUUCACCUGGGCCCUGAUACAUGUGAGGCUAUAGGUGGAACUGAGGAUGACACAUUUCCGGCAGUGUCGAAAGUAGCUUGAUUUGUUGCAACAAAGUUAUGGUCAAUAUUGCUCUCCGUAUUCAUGUUACCUUCCAAGACCUUGACUACCUCGGACAUCCUAGGUCUUCUUUUGCAAUCAAUCUGCAAACACCACAUCGCGAGCUUCAUCAUCUGAAUUACAUCCUGCUCGUGUGUGUGCAUGUCGUUACUGUUCUUGUCGAUCAAAUCUACCAAGUUACCAUACUUCACCUUUUCUUCCAAUAGGGUAAUGAGAUGGAUGCUCUCUUCUGAUCGGGAGGUGUCGAUGUUCUUUCUUCCGCUGAUGACUUCCAUGACCACUACACCAAAGCUGUAGAUAUCGGCCUUCUCUGUUAUUUGUGAUGUCAACCAUUCAGGUGCUAAAUAUCCAGAUCUGUGGAAUCUGGAGGCCAUCACCGUCACUCUGGAAGAAGCUCCUAGGGGCAAAGCUGAAGCUGACACCGGUGGGCAGCUGCCUGGAAGCAUGUAGCUGGAGGCCUGCAUGCCUUGUUGACUGGCCUUAGCUAUCAUACCAUUAACCAUGUCUCACUCACUAUAAUUCCGUGAAUUACGUCCAAACGAGGGUGGCAAAAAGCCUUGUCAUCUUCGUGAACAUGCGUGAAUUAGCUGUUUCUUAUACACAUUUUGUAGCGCUGAGUAUUUGGCUGUGCCGUUUACA